rnacentral:rRNA from 1 species
UACAGAGGUGGCAAGCGUUAAUCGGAAUUACUGGGCGUAAAGCGCGCGUAGGUGGUUUGUUAAGUUGAAUGUGAAAUCCCCGGGCUCAACCUGGGAACUGCAUCCAAAACUGGCAAGCUAGAGUAGGGCAGAGGGUGGUGGAAUUUCCUGUGUAGCGGUGAAAUGCGUAGAUAUAGGAAGGAACACCAGUGGCGAAGGCGACCUCCUGGGCUUAUACUGACACUGAGGUGCGAAAGCGUGGGGAGCAAACCGG